CCUACGGGGAGCAGCAGUCGAGAAUCAUUCACAAUGGGGGAAACCCUGAUGGUGCGACGCCGCGUGGGGGAAUGAAGGUCUUCGGAUUGUAAACCCCUGUCAUGUGGGAGCAAAUUAAAAAGAUAGUACCACACGAGGAAGAGACGGCUAACUCUGUGCCAGCAGCCGCGGUAAUACAGAGGUCUCAAGCGUUGUUCGGAAUCACUGGGCGUAAAGCGUGCGUAGGCUGUUUCGUAAGUCGUGUGUGAAAGGCGCGGGCUCAACCCGCGGACGGCACAUGAUACUGCGAGACUAGAGUAAUGGAGGGGGAACCGGAAUUCUCGGUGUAGCAGUGAAAUGCGUAGAUAUCGAGAGGAACACUCGUGGCGAAGGCGGGUUCCUGGACAUUAACUGACGCUGAGGCACGAAGGCCAGGGGAGCGAAAGGGAUUAGAUACCCCUGUAGUC
rnacentral:rRNA from 1 species